AGAAAGAAGUUAAAUGUCUAUUGGCCAGGGGACUUUAGCCAGUAUUAACCACAAACAAUAACACAUCUACAUGCAGUGGGGGCUUUAACAUGUCACAUGACCUUGAUCUUGGUGUGUGUGUGUGUGUGUGUGUGUGUGUAAACGUGGCCGCAGCAUGUUAAAUAGAUGCAUUCUGACAGGAAAUCGAGGAAGACAUGCUGACUGUCAACACUUGACUUUUAACAUAACAAAAUAAGGUCAUAAUUAUCUGUUGAAGCCAUUCAUUGUGCUUAUAUCAGGAACAACUCCACUCCAUCACAAAUCUACUCUAAACAUAAGAGCAGCUAUCCAUUAGGUAUCCUUUUCUGUUCACUUGGGGGGGGGGGGGUGAGUAGUGGGUUGCACUUCACAGCUUAAGCGAAACCGAGCAACUGUUGACUCAGACAGAGUAGGCUAGAGAUGUAAGACAACGAAGAUAAACCAGUUUCCUGUCUCUCUGGUGGUUGGAGCUCACUUCCUGUGCCUCUUCUGCUUCACUCGUUUCACGUUUCUGUCAUCUGUGAGACUUUUGUUCUCACAGAAAUGGAUUUUGUGAUGACAGAGCCAGCUUAUAAACUUCUUAUCUUUUUAUUCAUGAUACGAGGAAUGUACGGAGAUAUUAUAAAUUAUUAUCCCACCGCAACUGCUGUGGAGGGACAGAACAUCAGCCUGCAGUGCAUUGUGGGAGAGGAGCAAAACUUCACAAUUAUCCAGCUGGAGUGGAUUAAACAGCGAAAGGACAAAGAGAUGACUGAUCAGAAGAUUGCUGUGUUCCAUCCUGGGUUCCCAAUAAAUUAUUUUCAAUCUGGUUUUCUUCUGGAGACAGUGACCAGUUCAAAAACUAGGAAGCUGCAGGGCUCAAUCCUGACUCUGCGUGAAGUUAGAGUGAAGGACAGUGGAAACUAUAUUUGUGAAAUCACUUCUUAUCCCACUGGAUCAAUUAAAAGAAUCACAAAGCUGCAAGUUACAGAGCCUCCAGCAUCAGUGAAGAUGUCAUAUCCAUAUGGAUUCAUAAAAGAGGGGGAUGAUAUGAAAAUAACUUGUUCAGCGAUCCCUCCACCAAUCCAUUAUAAACUAAAACGUUCAAAGAACAAGAUAUUUUGGCUGGAAAGCUCAAACGGAGAGUUCACUUUACCACAUGUCACCAGAAACGACAGCGAUGUGUACAUCUGUUUACCUGAAUGGGACUCAUUAGUCCCAAAUCUGCAAGGCCUCAAUGCCACCGUCGAAGUGACUGUCAAUUUUCUUGAUGGCAUUGAGUGUAACACAAGCAGCUCUUUAAACGUCAGCGCUGGUGAAGAUGUGGUCAUUUCUUGUAUCGCAAAAGCUUCACAGUACUUGCAGUAUAAGUGGAUGAGGGGUGACACAACACUGUCUCUCUCAGACACUUUGUCUCUGACCUCCAUGACAUCUGAGCAGUCAGGAACUUACAAACUGACAGCUGUCUUUCUGGACAAUCAACUCCAGACAGACAUUGAGAUUUCUAUCCAGGUUCUCCCAAAGCAAAAUGAAGGGAUGAAUGGAGGGCUUAUACAUUAUAAGAUAUCUGCAACUGCUGUGGAGGGACAGAACAUCAGCCUGCAGUGCAUUGUGACAGACGAGCAUGACAUCACAAUUAUCCAGCUGGAGUGGAUUAAACAGCAAAAGGACAAAAAGAUGACUGAUCAGAAGAUUGUUGUGUUCCAUCCUGGGUUCCCAAUACAUUAUUUUCAAUCUGGUUUUCUUCUGGAGACAGUGACCAGUUCAAAAACUAGGAAGCUGCAGGGCUCAGUCCUGACUCUGCGUGAAGUUAGAGUGAACGACACUGGAAACUAUAUUUGUGAAAUCACUUCUUAUCCCUCUGGAUCAAUUAAAAGAAUCACAAAGCUGCAAGUUACAGAGCCUCCAGCAUCAGUGAAGAUGUCAUAUCCAUAUGGAUUCAUAAAAGAGGGGGAUGAUAUGAAAAUAAACUUGUUCAGCGAUCCCUCCACCAAUCCGUUAUAAAUUAAAACGUUCAAAGGUGUGUCUCACAGAAAAAUACACAUUAUAUAUGCCACAGUUUAUUUAAUUGUUAUGUUGAUCUCAUUCUUCUCAUCAGAACAAGAUAUUUUGGCUGGAAAGCUCAAACGGAGAGUUCACUUUACCACAUGUCACCAGAAAUGACAGCGAUGUGUACAUCUGUUUACCUGAAUGGGACUCAUUAGUCCCAAAUCUGCAAGGCCUCAAUACCACCGUCGAAGUGACUGUCAAUUGUGAGUGUUUGUACUGAGAAUAUCAAUCAAUUGCACCUAAAAUGAAUCAUUUUUGAUUCACACUGGAUCAUUUUUGAAUAAUUUUUUUAUCCUUGUUU
ensembl:lncRNA